ACUAAUUGAUAAUUAUAAACAGAUAGAGAGAACUUACCUAAGGAAUCUUUAAGCUUUGUAGAAACAACAGAGAGACUCAAGUAUGAAGGAGAGACAGAGAAAGGAUAUACGUAGGAAGAAUGGUUACCAGCCACACAAAGCAAAAGACAACAUGCCUAUUAGGUGUUUGGAGGAUGUAGACGAAAGGGACCAUCUCGCGUGCCUAAAUCAAAGGUGAUAACAUUUGAUCUGCAAUCUUAACUUUGGUAGUAACUGUUAAAGAAAAU
rnacentral:lncRNA from 1 species